CGAACUCUGGUAUUGAUUGGUGCUUGCAUCAUGAUUUACAUUUGAGUGAGUGGCGAACUGGUGAGUAACACGUGGGAAACCUGCCCAGAAGCGGGGGAUAACACCUGGAAACAGAUGCUAAUACCGCAUAACAACUUGGACCGCAUGGUCCGAGUUUGAAAGAUGGCUUCGGCUAUCACUUUUGGAUGGUCCCGCGGCGUAUUAGCUAGAUGGUGGGGUAACGGCUCACCAUGGCAAUGAUACGUAGCCGACCUGAGAGGGUAAUCGGCCACAUUGGGACUGAGACACGGCCCAAACUCCUACGGGAGGCAGCAGUAGGGAAUCUUCCACAAUGGACGAAAGUCUGAUGGAGCAACGCCGCGUGAGUGAAGAAGGGUUUCGGCUCGUAAAACUCUGUUGUUAAAGAAGAACAUAUCUGAGAGUAACUGUUCAGGUAUUGACGGUAUUUAACCAGAAAGCCACGGCUAACUACGUGCCAGCAGCCGCGGUAAUACGUAGGUGGCAAGCGUUGUCCGGAUUUAUUGGGCGUAAAGCGAGCGCAGGCGGUUUUUUAAGUCUGAUGUGAAAGCCUUCGGCUCAACCGAAGAAGUGCAUCGGAAACUGGGAAACUUGAGUGCAGAAGAGGACAGUGGAACUCCAUGUGUAGCGGUGAAAUGCGUAGAUAUAUGGAAGAACACCAGUGGCGAAGGCGGCUGUCUGGUCUGUAACUGACGCUGAGGCUCGAAAGUAUGGGUAGCAAACAGGAUUAGAUACCCUGGUAGUCCAUACCGUAAACGAUGAAUGCUAAGUGUUGGAGGGUUUCCGCCCUUCAGUGCUGCAGCUAACGCAUUAAGCAUUCCGCCUGGGGAGUACGGCCGCAAGGCUGAAACUCAAAGGAAUUGACGGGGGCCCGCACAAGCGGUGGAGCAUGUGGUUUAAUUCGAAGCUACGCGAAGAACCUUACCAGGUCUUGACAUACUAUGCAAAUCUAAGAGAUUAGACGUUCCCUUCGGGGACAUGGAUACAGGUGGUGCAUGGUUGUCGUCAGCUCGUGUCGUGAGAUGUUGGGUUAAGUCCCGCAACGAGCGCAACCCUUAUUAUCAGUUGCCAGCAUUAAGUUGGGCACUCUGGUGAGACUGCCGGUGACAAACCGGAGGAAGGUGGGGAUGACGUCAAAUCAUCAUGCCCCUUAUGACCUGGGCUACACACGUGCUACAAUGGAUGGUACAACGAGUUGCGAACUCGCGAGAGUAAGCUAAUCUCUUAAAGCCAUUCUCAGUUCGGAUUGUAGGCUGCAACUCGCCUACAUGAAGUCGGAAUCGCUAGUAAUCGCGGAUCAGCAUGCCGCGGUGAAUACGUUCCCGGGCCUUGUACACACCGCCCGUCACACCAUGAGAGUUUGUAACACCCAAAGUCGGUGGGGUAACCUUUUAGGAACCAGCCGCCUAAGGUGGGACAG
rnacentral:rRNA from 2 species